CCCUCAAUAAAAUGGAUGCUGGGGGGUCAGGUGGACACCCUCUUGGUUGACUCUGGGACCACUAGAUGUUCCUAAACUGAUGGUGUCUCAGCCAGGUUGUGCUUGUGCAGUUCUACUGUGUACCCAGUAAAAGGACACUGGAUCCCCUUCUGCCUCUGAAGGGCCCACAGAUGGCAUUAGGGAGACCCCAGCUGACCAAGAUGUGGUCCUGCACCAGACAUCCGGCCAUAUCUACAAGUAUGUCUCCACUCACCUAAUUGGCAACAUCAAACAAGGCCGCAGCACUGAGAGUGGCAGCUCUGGCCUCUUUGCUCUGUGUAUGGGAUGCUGAAGCUCAUGGAGGAAGCAGACAAGCUUCUGUGACCUGCGCAAGUGGAUCACCAGCUCUUUGCUCUGGAGAAAUUGGGUGUCACUGGCAAUGGGCAUGAAGAGGUAGUUGCAUGCUAGGAUGGACAGACAUAUAUGAUUGAUGACAACCACACCGUCCUCCACUUCCAAGUAGAUGAAAAUAUUCGUGCCUUCUGUGUAGGCCUGUAUGCCUGCAAAGAGGGCCACAAUAGCCCCUGCCUCCUAUAGGUGACUUUCAACCAGAAGAUCUCUGUGUACUGGGAGGUACAGCUGGAGCAGAUGGAGUCUACCAAUCUGCUGAAACUGCUGGAGACCAAGCUGGAGUACCACAGCCUGCUGCAGGUGCUGGGCGUGGAUCCCGACAACCUCCCUGUGUCUCAUGCCCUGCUUCACCAAAUGCUCUACCCCAUGGACCAGCCACCACAGUGUGUUCCCUCCAGCCUUGAGGAUUCCACCUAGCUGUACUUGCCUCAUAGCUGGUGGAGGAUUCUUCUGAACCCUCACCCUACCCCCUAAAGGUAUCUGUGGUAUUGGCAGGAUAGGGAGUGUGCAUUAUAGAAGUGCAGGGCUUGACUCUGGGCAUGAAAGAUAGCGGCAGUCUUAGGGUGACCACAAGCUAUAGACCUCAUGGUCUUUUUGGUGAAAGAAGAAACAAAUUGACCCUCUGCCCAUUUUCUUAUGGACCUCACUCAUCACACCAGCAGGGUUGUAGGAUUCUGGCCUUGUUCCAAUCAUCUGGGACAUGUUCGACUCCUGACUCUCACUGUGUAGAAAACAAGAGACUUGUUUGUGUGGCCCCAACACCCAUAAGGAAACCAGGCUUUAGGCCCAGGGGAGCAGUGGAGUUAAUGGCUCCACCCCAUCUUAAGCUCUGCCUUUCAUGGCAGAUUUCAAAGUUUUUGAUAUUAGUAACUGUUAAAGGAAUGGCAAACGGUUUUGUUUUGAAGGGUCUUUCAGCACCAUGUACAGUCUGGUCUUACCUAUGCUAACAACCUUGAGAUGAUUUUCCUCCAUUUA